rnacentral:lncRNA from 1 species
CUGUGAGUCACAAUUAACCCUUUGUCCCUUCAGUUGCUUUUGUCAAAGUGUUUUAUCAUAGCAACAGAAGAGAACAAAGUUAGUUCUUUUCUUUCUUUCUUUUUUUUUUUUUUUUUUUGUAUUUUUUGGGUUUGUUUGUUUCGUUGUUGUCAAGAUGAACAAUACCUUUGUAGAUAAAGUCUUUAGUAGACAUCCUACAUACAGUGCCUGAUUGAGGCUCAUUUACAUAAUACAUUUGCACCAAUCAUAUCACAUUGUUUCUUAAGUUGCAGCAGACCAAGGCCUUUUAAUAUAUUCAGACUGUAGUACAAAUGGUUCAUUUAUUUGGGUUCCAGGACAUCAAAGAAUUGAUUAUUCUAGUGGUUCCUGUGAUGGGACAAAUACCAUAUUGCCAUGUUUUGGACAAGUUCUUAUAGAAAAUUCAAAACCUACAUUCUUAUCUAAAUGAAUGAAGCCCGUCCUAUCCUCAGGAGAGAAUACACACUUAUUAAAAAAUAGCUGCUGCUUAUGGGACUGCUUACUGGGCAGAGUCGUGGGUUAUCAUGCAGCCACAAUUGUUCAACAUGAACCUAGGUUGUUGAACCUUCAUGCUGUAAAGUCAGGUGAGAAUACAUGGCCAUGCCAGUCAGACCCUCAUGUCAUCCUCCUCUAUUGUCCUAGAAUCUGAUCCUAAUUCUCAUAACUAAUUAACAAAACAGUAAUCACGUUAGCCUCACGAAUGGGUUAGUAAAAAAAAUGAAAGUACAAUUUGGAAAUAGACUAUCCUGAAAUCCAACCUGAAGGGGGGUGAUCCUGAGUUAAAUAGAUAUAAAUCCUCCUAAUAGACAGACUGUGGGUUAUAACCUUGUCACUCCUAUUAUAACAAAAAGUGACCCGAGGUGAUAUCUACUGAGUUGUGCUCUAGUGAAUGUCUUUGUUGUUGAUUAUCGCCCUCAAAAGAGAAAUCUUGGAAUACUAGCAAGAAGGAUGUCUAUAGAAAAGAAAUAUGGAUGAGCUAAAGGUGGACACAAAGCCUGGUAACUUUUAUGUUUUGUUUAAUACCCAAAGAAAGCAGCCACCUCUGGACAGCCAAUAAACAGCUAAAUAAGUAGGAUGACUUAAGGACAGCUUCUUGUCAUUGCCCCCUCACAUUCACUUUGGUGGGCUCAUGAACUGUGGUUUGAGAGCCAUGGAGAAGGAAAAAAAAGAUGGUUUACAUAGCUGGUUUCCUGAGCACCAAGGUUGAGAAUUAGUUACUGCUGCUGCCCUGUGUCCAAUAUGAAGGUGAUAGACACCACGCAGGUCUAUUUGGUGGCAUAUUAAUUACAAUAGACCAUUUGAGUUAGUAGAGACUCACCUGAAUUUGAAGCAAAGAUAGAUUCUAAGUACAGGUGUGCCUGUAUUGAUUGUAGGGUCUUAGCCAGCCCUAUUACCAGUAUCUUUAUUCUGUUGACACAAUAUCCCACAUGACAUUGCAUCGGAAAAAGCAAGGGUAAAUUAAGAAACCAACAAUACUCUUGUUUAUCUGUCUUCUCAGAGAUUGGAUGGGGAACCUGCACUUCCCAUCAUAGGCUCUAUCUAACCCCAAGUCCUAAUCCCAACAGAGGAAUCAUCAUUGUAAUGGUUCCACUAGAUUUUGUGGCUAGAGAAACCUGAGGAGCUCAGGCUCAUUGUAUCAAGAGUUCAGGAGUCAAGAUGUAACUUCACUUGCAAAAGUCAUUGACAUUUAUUCAUCAUGAGGAACCCAGGCUAUGGUUGUCCAAUCAACUCAAGAUAUAAUUGUGGCUAAGUGAUCUACUAAGAUAAUGCUCUGCAGUUUCAUACUCUGCAGUUCAAUUAGAUAAGACAUGUUAUAGCCAUGAGUUGAGAAUGUCAUGGCAUAAGGGGCACUGACUGUAAGGUAUAAAGAGGUCUUCAUUACCCAACAGAAAGCCACGAUCAGAGAUGCUAGCCAUUAAGAGUGCCAUCUAGAAUAGAUAUUAAGAGAGGAAUUGAGGAAGAAUACAUUGUAACCCCAGUCCUGCUGUGGCUUCCUCCUACUGGCUUUUAUCUUAUAAGUUUCUGCAAUAAAUUAAACCAACUAAAAUUUUGGAACAGCUAUUCCUAGGCAGUGGUAAAUCCACUAGAUGGAAUGAAUAAGUUUGUACAGUGGCUUGGUUCACAAAUAAAGCAAACCAACCAGAAUUCUGGAACAGAUGUUCCUAGGUAGCAGUAAAGCCACUAUGGAGUGAAUAUGUUUGAACAGUGCAGGGUAAGAGCAAUCGGAUGCUGUGCUGUGCACUGUGCUGCCAAAGCUCUCUUCCAUUUGGGAGUACUUACUCUAUCAGGCAAUGGGAGCAUAGGAGAGUUAGGGCUUACAGAGGAUCCUCUUUUGUAAAUUAUCAUCAGCCAAAAGAAAAUGUCUCUCCCAAGGCUGUGCCCUUUCCCUACGGACAACUUGAACCCAUGAAUGGUCUUUCUGGGACACAAAGACCUGACUCCCUCACCUCUAUUAAAAUGAUUCUCAUUCCCAGUCCAGUUACUACACUUCUGUAGCUCAACUUCUGGCCAGCCUGCUUACCUCAUCAUCUCAGCAGUCUCUCCAAUAAGUAUUUUGAAUAGAGAGCUCCAGGUACUGGGGUCUAAUUUCUACAACACUUGACAUAAAACAAAUAGGUAAAUGAAUAUUCAAACAACAAUUACCAAUUUCAUCUUCCUCGAUUCUUAUUCUUUUUCCAUGGGAAGAGGCAUGGUUUUCAAGAAAUGAAAAGUCUAUGUUAGGUACCAAGAUGAGUGAUUUCAACUUUCCUUUACCUUCUUUGUGGGAAUUUAACACUUCACUAUUUAUUUGCUAUGUCAUCUUGAAAUGGUUAUAAAAUUCUCUUAACUUCACUUUUCAGGACUGUAAAAUGGAAUACAGUAACUACAUCUUAGGGUGAUGCAUGAAAUAACUGAACUUAGCAUACUUACAGCUCUUAGUAGAAUAAACAACUAAACAUUUAGCAACUGUCCUGGUUAGCUUUAGUUGACAAUUUGAUACUGCUAGGGGAAAAAACACACCUGAAAAAACACCUCCAUCACACUGGCCCAGGCAUGUCUGUAUGGAAUUUUCUGAAUUGGUAAUUGGUUGUAGGAAGAUGCAGCCCACUGUGAGUGGUACCAUGAACCUAUGGCAAAUGAAACUGUAAGCAAAGGUCGCUGAACAAGCUAGUGAGCAACCUUUACCUAUGGUCUCUGCUUUAAUUCUCACCUCCAGGUUCCUGCCUCAGAUUCCUUCAAUGGUGAGCUGUAAUUUAUAAUUCAAAUAAAUCUUUUCCUCCCUAUAAAUUGCUGUUGAUUGUGGUUUUAUCCCGGCAGUGAAAACCAAACUAAGACAGCAUUAAAAACAUACAGUAACCUAAUGAGUUGAAGUGGAAACUUCUAGUUCUUUGGAAUGUUAUGUCAAAUGAUGUUUUGCUGAGGCACACAGGUGAAAAGAUGUCUUACUAAUGCAAACUUGUGAAAGAUUGUUUUCUUGAAGCAGACACAGGUGAAAGGAUGUGUGGAGUUAGCAAAUACAUGAAAGGACUGACUCUUGAUGAAGGAAUAUAAAUAUGAACCCACAGACAGUGGGAGAUGAGCACUGAAUCUUGGUGUAGUUUCCUCCGCCUCAUUAGUCUUCAUUAACAACAUGCAUGUAUUGGUUCUCCUUCCAUAGCAUUGUUGAGCUCAACUUGUAAUAACAUCACCAUUGAGAGAAACUCACCCAAGAACUGCUCUCAAGGUUUCUGCCGCAGCUUGCAGCUUCUGUGGCCUUACCUCAGGCUGGUUAGGGUUGGGAACAUGGUGGUUUCUUCAGGAUUAAACGACAGCUGCCGGGUGUCUGCUGGCUGAAAGAACUGGACUGUGUAGUUGCUGGUUCAUGCCUGGUGUCUGAUUGCCUGGGGGGACUGGUUUGCAGUUCCUAAUUUGUAUUUGAUAUUUGCUACGGAACUGAACAGCUGCCAAAGAAGAUCAGUCUCACCCCCAGAGAACUACUGCUGAACAGAGCCUAACAACUUUUCCACUACCUCUGUUGGGUGAUGGACUAGAGGAGAAGUUGAGCCCUUAUUAAAAGUAUAUUGCAAAAAAAUUAUGCCUACAAGGAGUUUUAUCAAUAAAUGCUUGAUUUGGAGGAGCUAUGUUUUAUAUACCAGUCUUUCUUUUAUCAUUUCUUUGCACCCAAAGCUUCUUUCUUUCCUUUUCCUUUCCUUUCUUUUCUUUUUAAAUUGUUUAUUGAUUCUUUGUUUCACAUCAUGGACUCUAGUCCCACUCAUCUCCUUCUCCUUGUCCU